rnacentral:rRNA from 1 species
AUGAACGCUGGCGGCGUGCCUAAUACCUGCAAGUCGAGCGAACAGACGAGGAGCUUGCUCCUCUGACGUUAGCGGCGGACGGGUGAGUAACACGUGGAUAACCUACCUAUAAGACUGGGAUAACUUCGGGAAACCGGAGCUAAUACCGGAUAAUAUAUUGAACCGCAUGGUUCAAUAGUGAAAGACGGUUUUGCUUUCACUUAUAGAUGGAUCCGCGCCGCAUUAGCUAGUUGGUAAGGUAACGGCUUACCAAGGCAACGAUGCGUAGCCGACCUGAGAGGGUGAUCGGCCACACUGGAACUGAGACACGGUCCAGACUCCUACGGGAGGCAGCAGUAGGGAAUCUUCCGCAAUGGGCGAAAGCCUGACGGAGCAACGCCGCGUGAGUGAUGAAGGUCUUCGGAUCGUAAAACUCUGUUAUUAGGGAAGAACAAAUGUGUAAGUAACUAUGCACGUCUUGACGGUACCUAAUCAGAAAGCCACGGCUAACUACGUG